rnacentral:tRNA from 1 species
GGAAUAGCUCAGCAGCAGGAGCACCUGUCUGGCAAGCACGAGGUCCUGGGUUUGACUCCCAGUACC